CCAGUUAGUAGGCCAUUAAUUAUCACUCCCUUGAGAGAGCUUGACCAAUCAGGGAGCUGUCUCCAUGUCUCUGUUAUCACCAGGCAGACUUACUCCUUCACAUGACCUUCUGGCUGUCUGCCAAACCUUAAUUGACUCUGUGUGAGUAGCUGCACGUACACAGUUUCCCAACAAGUUUCCCUAAAUAUUUUCGUACUUUUCCCAGCCAUGUGGUCUACCCCUGUCCCAAAGACUGCCUCUUUUUUGUGCUUGAGUGGUGCUGUUUUGGCUACACUGAAUCAUAAAAUUUUAGAGUUGGAAGGGACCCUGGGGGUCCUCUACUCCAACCCCCUGCAAUGCAGGAAUCUCAUCUAGAUCAUACAUGACAGAUGGUUUUCCAGCUGCUGCUUAAAAACUAACCAACAACACUCCCUGCUUCAGUGCUGAUAAUAAUAGGGAAUGAUUUGUUGGUACAAGACUAAGGAUGAAUGGGUCUUCUUCCUACUCAUAGGGAUGGAUGGAUCAGUUUAUUUCUGUCCCCUGCCAAGGUUUCAUGUUGCCAUUCUUAACUCCAUCCUGUCCCAUUUCUGCAUUAAUCUGCAUUUUUUUAAAAAACUAAACAAAGAUCAUAUUAAAAUACAUACAUUUUAUCACAAAAUAUAUAUUCCUAAGGUUUAUCUCAAUGUAUGCAUUUCUAAAAAUAUGUAACCCUAAAAUCAUGCCUUUUUAAAUGCACUUUUGUGGCUAGUUUUAAUCAAGAAGUGUAUCACAAAAUUUGGAGAUGUAUGAAAUCAAAAGACUAAUUACAUUCUGAUGCGCACAUUAGUCCGAGAGGUGUAGAUGAAGGUCAUAUUGCACUGGAAUUCACAGAAAUUGAAUUCCUCAAGCAUUCCUAAAUAGUACUCUCUCCCCUCUCCUCCUUCUGAAGGCAUCCUUCUCUAAUGUCUGGAUGAACAAGGAAGAGGGAGUAGAUCAUGUGGAAAGAAGCAAGGUAACUAAGCAUGGAACGUGUAUGGCAGAAUGAAACAUACGUAAAGAAAAAUGCAGGUUGUUUCCUAGCUGUUAACCUGUUUGGACUCUAGUUCAUUAAAUUAGCAGCAGAAACGUGAGGUGACAGGCUUGGCAGAGAAUAGUAAAGGUGUGGUUGCUGUGGGGAAAUAAUACUCCAGCUGGUAACCUCAUUGCUGACUAUCAUCUGGGGAACCAUUUAUGCACUGCUAGAUUUAGAGAUGAAGCCAAGUGUCAAUUCCCCUGUUGUUUAGUUUCAUCAGACUGGAGUGACAUGAUUGGGAGGAAGAGCAGGGUGAUCUAAUCCUCUUUUAAGGCCAUCCAUGUUACUGGCCUUCACUACUUCUUGUAGGAGCAGAUCCCAUAGAUUAACCAAGUAAAUAAUGUUUAUUGUUAUUUUCAAAGUAAGAUUCAGAAAGAAUACCUCCUGUAACAAAAUCUUUCCAUUGCACAUUGUGGGAGGGGAUGGGAUUGACAGGUCUUAGACAUUGCCUGCUUGCAAUUUUAGGCCCUGAAAUGGCUUGUGUUAGAAGUUCAAAAGAUCAGGCAGCUGAGUAGUGAAUCCAUAAUGUAGAAGUGAUGUCCAACCUGUCCAUGUUGUUUUCUUUUGAUUUCUUGUUUUUCCAACCUUAAGUUCAAUUCUCCACUUCACCCUGGCAUAUAUGGUUUUACAGUGGUACCUCGGGUUAAGAACUUAAUUCAUUCUGGAGGUCUGUUCUUAACCUGAAACUGUUCUUAACCUGAGGUACCACUUUAGCUAAUGGGGUCUCCUGCUGCCGCCUUGCGAUUUCUGUUCUCAUACUGAAGCAAAGUUCUUAACCUGAGGUACUAUUUCUGGGUUAGCAGAGCCUGUAACCUGAAGCGUCUGUAACCUGAAGCGUCUGUAGCCUGAGGUACCACUGUAUACACAUUAUUUGGCCGGAAAACUGCAUCGCAAAUUUGGCAGGAUGGCUGAGUUUCAGGUCUUGUAUUGUUCCAGAAAGUGCAAAGUACUUAGGUUCACCUAUAAAUACAAUCUGAAUCAAAUCCCCCCCCCCCCAUUCCUAUGCAUGAAGAAUAUUGGGAACAUACUUUCCAGGGGAUUAGCACUUCAGCAACAGGCACGUGUUGAGAUGAAGCAACAUGUCUUUAUUUACCAAGAAGAUUUGUGAUGUUCGGUGGUAAGUAGCAGCAAGCAAAAAAGCUUUUCCUGGAACUGAAACGGUUCUCUCCUCCCUCCCUCUCUCCACUGCAUGGCUCUUCCAUUUAAUUCCUUCAAAUCUGUCGUAAUCAGACUGGGUUUUCGCCCAUCAGCAGAGAGAAUGACGGAAAGAGUGAACAGAAACAUCUCGAGCUACUCCACUACUCUCUGAUUUCCAAGCAUUGCAUCAAACUGGCAUGAAGCCCCCUGGGAGGAGAAAUUUACUAUAAGUCAUGUCAGGUCCAAGCACAUUAGGCUUAUGGAUAUGAUAGGCUGAAUACUGAAAUUACCAUUUGCACAAAUGAUCUUGCCAUUCCUACAGGCCUACUGUGUCCCUUUAAUACCCCAAUCUUUCAAUUAUGAAGCAGAGAUCAGUCAGGGCACUUUGGUAACCGGCUUUUUCAUUUGUCUUUUCUUCAUACACUUGUAUUACUAUUCUCAUUCCCUCCUCCUCCUCCUCCUCUUCUUUGCCAACUCUGGGAACAAUAUGUUAAGACCCCCGCUUUCUGCUGCAUACACAAAUGGGAUGGGCAUGUGAAUGACAGUCCCAUUGUAUCAGUAAGUAGUUCCUGGUGCCCAUUCAGACUGGUUGGGCAGAAGGCAAGGACACACAACAGGAGAUGCAUUGAGAGCCAAAUACAGGCACAGCUAACUAAUUCUGAUUUAGUCCCCCCCUACCCAGCCACCCCGGCGAUGUAUUCUACAAAGGUCAUGCUGAGUCCAAGAAGGAGAAAAGUGACAAGCAGUGACACUUACUGGAAAGGGUUGUAAAUAGGGUUGCCACAUUUGUUCUGGUAAAAUACAGGCCAGGACCAGGCCAGGCCAUGUGGUUGGGUGGCAAUUUAUUUUUUCAUCUGGCGCUGAAGUGACUUCAAAGCAACCCAUUGCAAUCUACUGCAACCCGCCCCCCUCUCUCUCACACACACACUUGUAAAUCUGUUUGUGCUUGGCCACCUAGAGCUUAAAUACAUGACCUUUCACAUACCCUUUCAAACCCAUGUAUUUGGAGAGGUUCCCUAACUUGGCAGAGAGGGAGAGAGAAGACCUGAAAUACAGGACAAAACUGUAUCAAUAUGGGACUAGCAUUUUAAAUUGGAAUACUGGACAAUCCUGUAUUGUACAGGACAGGUGGCAACCCUAGAAAGCAGAUUCAAGUUGGCAGGGCAGACUCUACCGAUAUCAUGUUUGGCCCUUGCUGAGUGACCUUGGGCUGGUGUUCUCCCUCUCUUCCUGUUUCUUCCAUCUCAGUCUACAUGCUAGAAAGACCCUUGAUAUAUUCAAGUGGAGAAUCUCCACCUUGCUUUCUUUUCCAGUUUGGUGACUUAGAUUUGGUGAUGGGACCUGCCAUCAUAUAUUCCACCCCCUUGCCCCAGUUGCAUCCACUGACUUUUCUUCCUUACAUUAACAUGAGAUCUCACAACUCAGUGGGCUAUCUGUCAUUCCUGUGGCUUGACACAUCCGGGUAAUCUAUGCACACCCAAAACCUGCCGUGCAUCAAUAUUUACUAAUGGAGCUUCUUGUAUGCAGAGGCUGUUUUUGCAAUAGAACAGAAAAUGAAGAAAGUUCCAUGACCUCAGCCAGGCAGCAAACAGAAAUCACAGUUAUCAAGCAUCCUGCAUUAAGCUUGGGGUGGAAAUAGAAGAAACGAUUUAGGGAAACGAAAAGAAGAGAUAAGAACGGAAGACAGGGAAUAUCAUUGUUUUCAGUACAAGUAGACUACACAAAGACAGGGAGCUGAGUCAGAUCAUUACCUAUGCUGACCAGCAGCAGUUUCCAAGCAGGUUUCCAAACAGAGGACAUAAGAACAGCAUGGUGGAUGAGACAAUGGCCAAGCUAGUCAAACAGACUGUUCUCACAGUGGCCACCUACAAGCAGGACCUGAGUGCAACGUCACUCUUGCUUCUUGUGGGUUUGAGCAACUGAUAUACAGAAACAUUGCUGACUCUGACCCUGGAGGCAAAUCGGAGUCAUCAUUAUUGGCCAUUGUUGGACUUAUCCUCCAUGAAUCUGUCCAAUACUCUUUUAUAGCCAUCCAACUUGGUGGUCAUCAUUGCCUCCUGUGGGAGCAAGUUCCACAGUUCAGCUAUGUGAAGGGCUUCCCUUUGUUUGUCCUGAAUCUUGCAACACGUAGCUUCUUUGAAUGGCCCCAGUGGAUUAUAGUAUUAUGAGAGAGGCAAUUUGUGGAAAGAAGUCCAAGGGGCAGGAGAACGAACAGAUGCUAUGAUUCAAAUGGUCUUUUCAGACUGUGCUGUGAGCAGAGGGGAAGAGAAAGCUGCUUUCAAGCAAUGUUGGGGGAACCUAAUGUUUGCUUUUUGCAAAGUUUAGGCUCUAUAAUUUCCAGGGCUAAAGAGAUUCCUCCAAGUGCUAUUCCGUGUAGAGCACAUAGGAAUGCAGGGACAGAAGAAGCUGUCUGCCAACAUUCAGCUUCACUGAAUGUCCCUGAGUUCCUGUGUUACGAGAGAUGGAGAAAAACUUUCAUGUAGCCUUUCCCCCCUUACCAUGCCCCCUCUUACUUGUUUUUUCUGUAAACUAAAAAGUCCCAAAUGCUACUUUCCCAGACCUACUUGGAGAUGCUUGGGGACUAAUCUUGGGACCUUCUUCCUGCAACAAAGAUUAUUUGUCAGACUUCCGGGGGAGGCGCCUCCGGUAAUGGCAGAAUUCCUCUGACCAGGAGGAAUCUGCUCCAUGGAAAUCUGGGUCUGGCCGCCACGGCGAAGGCGGAGACCUGUUAAAAUCACAGGCGGGAGAAGCCUGUGAACGUGGGAUUUGGUGGGCACCUUUUGCGCCUCCCCCACUCGUGGGGAACCCCGGUUUUGGGGGCUCCGGAGCGACAUGGGGUGAGCGGUGCGGUGCAUCGAAUCGUCUGCUUCUUCCAUGGGGCGAAGCCGCAUAGCUGUUGCCGGAGAGCACUGACCUUUUCCUGUGGACAAUUUGACUUUAAAGUAAUUACCCAUGAGUAGAGCUGAAACAGAAGAAUUGGAUUUCUAAAAGUUUAAUUUGGUAUCGUAACGGGGAGGUUCAAAACAGGAAGUCCGCCUUCCCCUUUUGUAAAUAGACUGAGGCAAUGAAGUUGCAAGCUGGAGUCUUGAAAGGUCUUUUGUAAAAGAUCAAAUUUCCAAUGGUAAAGAACAUUAAACCCCCUCUUGGAGGCAGGAGAAGAGAGGGGGAAGUUGUGAACUGAGUAUGCCUGCGGGAGAGAGCGAAGAGGCUUAAAACACCGCCGCUCUGACCCUGGAAACGGGCUGCUAGUAAAACUGACAUUUUUUGGAAUGUUCAUUGACAGCGCUUAGAACGUUCAUUGACAGCUAGCUAAAUAAGAGAAAUACAUUGUUUCUACUGUUUCCGGCUGCUUUAAAAAAGGAGUAAAAGUAACUGAAAAUUGAAACUAAUUUGAAACUAACUUUGGAUUGUUUAAAAGAGGAUACUAUUGACUUUUACAAAUAGAAACUGUUUCCCCCUAGUGGAAGCCUUUGAAACUGGUUGAUUUACAAGAGUUGGACUAGGGGAAUUUCCAGCUGCAAGUUAAAAACCGUGAGACUCUGGGACUGACCUUGAAUCUUUCAAAUGUUAUGGUAAAUGGAAGAGGAAAAACAGACCAGUCAACUGUUGAUAAAACAUUAAGGUCUGGGAGGACUUGGUAACAAUCCAGGAGAGGUCUAUUAUUAAGCCCUCCUGUUCUUUUUGUUGCUGUCUCUGUACUAGUAUAUUUGAAACUAAGAGGAAUGUCGACAGAAGAGGCUUUGGUGGCGGCAUUAUAUAAGAUAAAUGACUCAUUGGAUCAGCUUCACAGGAAAAUGGACAUGAUAAAUGCAAAGGUGGAUGUUUCAAUUGUUGAGGUUGACUUGAAUGCAGGGAGUAUGGACAAUACCAAUACAGAAACCACCCAGAAAUUGAUACAAGAACCUAUUUUGAUAUGGCAAGCUGUGGAGGAAGUCAAGGAAAAAGCUGUUGCUGUUGAAGGUACAGAAACACAACUGGAGAGAAAGAGAAAGAGAGCCCCAGCCCUACAGAGGCAAUUUGAUGAACAUAAGUUGACGCUCGCUAUGACUGAAUUUAAGGAAAAACAGACGAAUUUGAGGAUUAGAGUUCACCUUUGGUGGACAUGCCCAAGGAUUAAGACACUCUGGGAGAUGAUUCAUAACGAAAUGAAAAAGGUAUUUAAAUAUACCCUUUUGAAGAAACCAGAGGCCUUUCUCCUGGGCAUGGUCGGUCAAUUGGUGUUAAAGAAGGAUAGAAUUUGUCUCAUGUAUGCAACAAUAGCAGCAAGAAUACUAAUUGUGAAGUACUGGAAGACACAAGAUUUAUCUAUCCGGGAAGAAUGGCAGAUGAAGUUGAUGGACUAUAUGGAAUUGGCGGAAACGACUGGCAGAAAUCCGAGACCAGGGAGAAGAGUCGGUGGAAGAAAACUGGAAAAAGUUUAAGACUAUGUAUAGAAAUAUUGUAAAAUUAAUGAAUGUUAGAAAAAUGUUGGAAUGAAGUUAUAUGGCUUUAGUAGAAAUGUUAUAAGGAAUUAAGUAUAAAUAGAAAUAGAGUAUUAAAGGGAAAAAUAAGAUUAGAAUAUGUUGAGAUAAUUAUAGGAUAGAAAACAGAGGAAGAUGGAAAGGAAUUGCUGAAACAAUUAAUAGAAGUGGAAUACAGAAAGGGAGGCGUGAGGAGGUCGUGGAAAUAAGGGAAUGAAAGUUAAGAUAUUGAAAUUGUUUUGUGUUUUAAAUGGUUUGCGUCUUGUUUUGUUAAUCUUAUGUUUUUUCUCUUUUUUUCUUUGCUUUUUCUUUUCCUUUUUUGUUGUUUCUGUUUUAUUGUGUUCAAAUGGUUGGAAAGUCAAUAAAUAUUAUUUAAAAAACACACAAAAAAAAACCAAAGAUGAUUUGUCGUUGUUCCACAUACCUUCCAUUUUAAAUUGCCACUUUCCCUCCAUAAAAAAUCCUCCAAACAACAAGGAUGCUACCUUAUACCAUAUGGUUUAGGAAAAUUUACCUAACCCAUCCCACCUCCAAAUAAAUAAGUUGACAAUUAACUGUGUGAAUUCCCACCCAUUGCAGUAAUUCAUUCAAAAGAUGUACAGUCUUUCAUAGAAGCCUGUAGAGGCAAGCUUGGGCACUUCUCCUUUGGAAUGGCAUCCCCUACACUUCCUCUUCUUUAAUUCUCACCUUGAGAACUUGGCUUCACUGCCACUGUCUCGAGUGAGCUGUUGCCUAUAAAAAACAUGUGCUGGUUAAUCUCAAAGGUGCUGCAGCACCUAUUAUCUUUACAGAUGGGGAGCCGAACUUGGCUGCGCCUCUGGAAUCACAAGGAUUGAAGUUUCUGGGUUGUUAUCAUGGUGCUUGCCAUGCUGUAAACUUUCUUACUUGACUUUUCUUUUUUUUAAAAAACAACAACAGCAACAACUUUGGGUCGGAGAAUAUAUGUAUGAAUCUGAUUCCCUCCAUUAAAGGAAGCAAUCAAAACUUCGGGGGACUUUCACAAAGGGUAAUCUAAUCCGGAAGAGGAGUAAGGACAGGAGGAGAAAUAGGCACUCAAACAUAGCAGCAUCACAGAAUCCUGUUAUGAUUUCAGUAGGGAAUCCCCCACCCCAUUUUAAGCCCAUAGUGGAUUUGAUGAGAACCUCAUUUCAGUGAAAUUCUCCUGUGCCGUACAUCUCUAUUUUUCCAUUUCAUUUUCUCACCUCUUUUUCUUUCCAUUCCAUUACACAUUGCCUUUCUGUCCUCAACCACAUCCCCCCCCCCCCCAGCAUCUUGGUUGAUCCAUUUUCUCCUUGGCCUCCAAGCCAUUCUGAGUGCAGAAAAAGGAAAGGGGGGGCACUCCACACCUAAUCUCUUUUCUCUACUGGAUAGCUAAUAGCACUGUCAUUUGCUUUUCAGCCGUGAAGUUGCUGUCUGACUCAGAAUUGCGGUUUGCAGCAAUGGUGAGAAACAGGAUGCAGAAUGGGAGAGAAAUAGCCAAGACUACUCACAUUGCUAUGGCCUUCUUGCAAUGUGGGGUGGGGUGACAACCCCAUACAGAGGGCUUGAAAGCUGUGGCUGCCACACAGUCUGAGAAAGUCUACCAUGUUGAGCAUGUGAAAACAUUCCCAUUGUUCCCUAGGAAUCUCCAUUUUUUCUACAAUGAAUGAAAACAUUGAAGGGUC